GGAGGAGAAUGUUCGCUGCCUGGCCUUCUUGGCGAAGCCCUUCGUUGCUCCCUCGUCCAGCGCCGCGCCGGCGACGCCCUUUACCCCUUCCUCCUCCGCGGACAAGAAAUCGGUUUUUCUGUUCGAUUGAUGGUUGAUUAAAGGGGAAAGUGGGGUCGAGGCGAAAAGGUUGGCCGUCGGAGGGUGGUUUACGACGAGAGGGCUUAUAAAAGGCAAAUCAGUGGUCUCAUCUAAAAUGAAACUCAAGAGUUUAAAAAAACUAUGAAGUUGCAAGCACUUGGCUGGAGACAGCAGAGAACAAACCAAAUUGCCUCAACUGUCUGGUGAAAGGUUUCACACAUACUUCUGAAGACCGUGCCUCUGUGAAAGGUGGCAUUAAGAAUGCAUCAACUGGCAGUCCGGCUCAGGAUCCCACUCUUGUAUCUAUCUCAUUAUACUUUCAGCUCAUCCAAAAGGGAAUUAGGUUCUGACAAUUUAAAAUGCAGCUUGCAGCCACCACUUUAAUCGAGCCGUGCUGCCACCAAGGAACUGGAAAAACAAAAUGAUGAGCUUGCUGUUGUUGAUCACAUUGCUACGGAGAAUGAUACUUGUUUAAAAGGAUCUCCUUGAUAUAUAACAAAAAAUGCAGUUCAAUUGUCAUGAAUCAGAUAAAUCAUUGGAAAUGAUUGGCAAGACGAUAACAGAUAAAAUGAAUGACCAAGAUGUAACUCUUUUAUAUAGUGCCAUUU